rnacentral:rRNA from 1 species
UACGAGGGGGGCGAGCGUUGUUCGGAAUUAUUGGGCGUAAAGGGUGCGUAGGCGGUUUGGUAAGUCUGAUGUGAAAUCUAUGGGCUCAACUCAUAGUCUGCAUCGGAAACUGCCGGGCUUGAGUGUGGGAGAGGUGAGUGGAAUCCCUGGUGUAGCGGUGAAAUGCGUAGAUAUCAGGAGGAACACCUGUGGCGAAAGCGGCUCACUGGACCAUAACUGACGCUGAUGCACGAAAGCUAGGGGAGCAAACAGG